rnacentral:rRNA from 1 species
UAGCGGCGAACCGGUGAGUAACACGUAGGCAACCUACCCUUCGGUGGGGGACACGGACCUUCGGGUCCCAAAUUCCCCAUAAGUACCCCGGAACCCUGGUUCCAGGGUGGAAAGCUCCUGCGCAAGCAGUUCCGCCGAAGGAUGGGCCUGCGGCCUAUCAGCUUGUUGGUGAGGUAACGGCCCACCAAGGCGAUGACGGGUAGCCGGACUGAGAGGUCGGCCGGCCACGCUGGGACUGAGAUAUGGUCCAGUCCGCGUUGGCGGAUAGCAUCAGGGAAUCUUGCGCAAUGGGCGAAAGCCUGACGCAGCGACGCCGCGUGGGGGAUGAAGGCCUUCGGGUUGUAAACCCCUGUCGUGGGGGAAGAAAGUCCACGCAAGUGGCCUUGACGGUACCCCACAAGAAAGCCCCAGCUAACUGCGUGCCAGCAGCUGCGGUAAGACGUAGGGGGCUAGCGUUGUCCGGAUUUACUGGGCGUAAAGCGCAAGUAGGUGGCUCGGUAAGUUGAUUGUGGAAUCCCUGGGCUCAACCCAGGAACUGCAUUCAAUACUGCCAAGCUCGAGGGCCGGAGAAAGGGAGUGGAAUUCCCGGUGUAACGGUGAAAUGUGUAGAUAUCGGGAGGAACACCAGUGGCGAAGGCGGCUCCCUAGACGGCCCCUGACACUGAAUUGCGAAAGCUAGGGCAGCGAACGGGAUUAGAUACCCCGGUAGUCCUAGCCGUAAACGAUGCUCACUAGGUGUUGGGAACUUCGACCUUCCCAGUGCCGAAGCUAACGCAUUAAGUGAGCCGCCUGGGGAGUACGGCCGCAAGGCUAAAACUCAAAGGAAUUGACGGGGGCCCGCACAAGCGGUGGAGCAUGUGGGUCAAUCCGACGCUACGCGAAGAACCUUACCAGGGCUUGACAUGUUUCUGUAAGCUGAGGAAACUCAGCCCUCUCAGCCUUCGGGCUGGGACGGAUUCACAGGUGGUGCAUGGUUGUCGUCAGCUCGUGCCGUGAGGUGUUGGGUUAAGUCCCGCAACGAGCGCAACCCUCAUCAGGUGUUGCCAGCGGUCCUUCGGGAGCCGGGCUCUCACCUGAAACUGCCGGAGUAAUCCGGAGGAAGGUGAGGAUGACGUCAAAUCGGCAUGCCCCUUAUGCCCUGGGCUCCACACAUGCUACAAUGGCGCGUACAAAGGGUUGCCAAGCCGCAAGGUGGAGCUAAUCCCCUAAAACGCGCCUCAGUUGGGAUCGGAGUCUGCAACUCGACUCCGUGAACGUGGAAUCGCUAGUAACCGUAGAUCAGCUACGCUGCGGUGAAUACGUUCCCGGGCCUUGUACACAC